rnacentral:rRNA from 1 species
AGACCUGGCGGCAGCUUACCAUGCUAGUCCAACGGUAGCAGGAGAAAGCUUGCUUUCUUGCUGACGAGUGGCGGACGGGUGAGUAAUGCUUGGGAAUCUGGCUUAUGGAGGGGGAUAACUACUGGAAACGGUAGCUAAUACCGCGUAAUAUCGGAAGAUUAAAGGGUGGGACCGAAAGGCCACCUGCCAUAAGAUGAGCCCAAGUGGGAUUAGGUAGUUGGUGGGGUAAAGGCCUACCAAGCCGACGAUCUCUAGCUGGUCUGAGAGGAUGACCAGCCACACUGGAACUGAGACACGGUCCAGACUCCUACGGGAGGCAGCAGUGGGGAAUAUUGCACAAUGGGGGGAACCCUGAUGCAGCCAUGCCGCGUGAAUGAAGAAGGCCUUCGGGUUGUAAAGUUCUUUCGGUGAUGAGGAAGGCGGGUAUUUUAAUAGAAUGCUCGAUUGACGUUAGUCACAGAAGAAGCACCGGCUAACUCCGUGCCAGCAGCCGCGGUAAU